UAACAGGAUUAGAUACCCUGGUAGUCCACGCCGUAAACGAUGUCGACUUGGAGGUUGUGCCCUUGAGGCGUGGCUUCCGGAGCUAACGCGUUAAGUCGACCGCCUGGGGAGUACGGCCGCAAGGUUAAAACUCAAAUGAAUUGACGGGGGCCCGCACAAGCGGUGGAGCAUGUGGUUUAAUUCGAUGCAACGCGAAGAACCUUACCUGGUCCUGACAUCCACGGAAGUUUUCAGAGAUGAGAAUGUGCCUUCGGGAACCGUGAGACAGGUGCUGCAUGGCUGUCGUCAGCUCGUGUUGUGAAAUGUUGGGUUAAGUCCCGCAACGAGCGCAACCCCUAUCCUUUGUUGCCAGCGGUCCGGCCGGGAACUCAAAGGAGACUGCCAGUGAUAAACUGGAGGAAGGUGGGGAUGACGUA
rnacentral:rRNA from 1 species